rnacentral:lncRNA from 1 species
UGCUAAAUUGGUUUCUUCAAGUUCUUCGGGAAGCAGGAGUCUUCAGAAGUCUUAUUGAGAGCCAAGGAGUGGGGAUCAACUUAUCAGUAAGUCCAUGAUGUUUUUCCUUUCCUUGUUUAUUUUUCCUAGUCUUUGUUUUUUCUUUUCUUUUUGGAUUAAAGAUUCAAUUAGAGGGAGGGAUUUAUCAAAGGGGUUAUAGUAUCGAUAUUGCAUACAUUGAGUGGGUUAUA